rnacentral:tRNA from 1 species
GUAGCUCAGUGGUAGAGUGCUUGCCUUGCAUGCAUGAAGUCCUGGGUUCAAUUCCUCAGC